AGUGAACGCUGGCGGUAGGCCUAACACAUGCAAGUCGAACGGCAGCACAGGAGAGCUUGCUCUCUGGGUGGCGAGUGGCGGACGGGUGAGGAAUACAUCGGAAUCUACUUUUUCGUGGGGGAUAACGUAGGGAAACUUACGCUAAUACCGCAUACGACCUACGGGUGAAAGCAGGGGAUCUUCGGACCUUGCGCGAUUGCAUGAGCCGAUGUCGGAUUAGCUAGUUGGCGGGGUAAAGGCCCACCAAGGCGACGAUCCGUAGCUGGUCUGAGAGGAUGAGCAGCCACACUGGAACUGAGACACGGUCCAGACUCCUACGGGAGGCAGCAGUGGGGAAUAUUGGACAAUGGGCGCAAGCCUGAUCCAGCCAUACCGCGUGGGUGAAGAAGGCCUUCGGGUUGUAAAGCCCUUUUGUUGGGAAAGAAAUCCAGCUGUUAAUACCCGGUUGGGAUGACGGUACCCAAAGAAUAAGCACCGGCUAACUUCGUGCCAGCAGCCGCCGUAA
rnacentral:rRNA from 1 species